rnacentral:rRNA from 1 species
CCUACGGGUGGCAGCAGUGAGGAAUAUUGGUCAAUGGACGAGAGUCUGAACCAGCCAAGUAGCGUGAAGGAUGACUGCCCUAUGGGUUGUAAACUUCUUUUAUAUGGGAAUAAAAUGAUCCUCGUGUGGGUUUUUGUAUGUACUUUAUGAAUAAGCAUCGGCUAACUCCGUGCCAGCAGCCGCGGUAAUACGGAGGAUCCGAGCGUUAUCCGGAUUUAUUGGGUUUAAAGGGAGCGUAGGUGGGUUGUUAAGUCAGUUGUGAAAGUUUGCGGCUCAACCGUAAGAUUGCAGUUGAAACUGGCAGUCUUGAGUACAGGAGAGGUAGGCGGAAUUCGUGGUGUAGCGGUGAAAUGCUUAGAUAUCGCGAAGAACUCCGAUUGCGAAGGCAGCUCACUGGACUGGAACUGACACUGAGGCUCGAAAGUGUGGGUAUCAAACAGGAUUAGAUACCCCAGUAGUC